AGCCUAUAUAUAAAAAUAACUGCAUGUGGCUGUAUUGAGACACAGGUUAUGCUUCCAUCACAGCAAGCUUGUUGUGGUGGUGACAGUGAGGUCUGUAAUAUUU
ensembl:snoRNA small nucleolar RNA SNORA1